CACGUAGGGUGCGAGCGUUGUCCGGAAUUAUUGGGCGUAAAGAGCUCGUAGGCGGUUUGUCGCGUCUGCCGUGAAAGUCCGGGGCUCAACUCCGGAUCUGCGGUGGGUACGGGCAGACUAGAGUGAUGUAAGGGAGACUGGAAUUCCUGGUGUAGCGGUGAAAUGCGCAGAUAUCAGGAGGAACACCGAUGGCGAAGGCAGGUCUCUGGGCAUUAACUGACGCUGAGGAGCGAAAGCAUGGGGAGCGAACAGG
rnacentral:rRNA from 1 species